rnacentral:lncRNA from 1 species
UGAUGAUAUAUGUAUCAUUUGGAAACAGGAUAACCAUAAGGACCAUAUAAUAGAUAUGCUAAUCGAUGACACGUUAGGACUUUCACUCAGAUUAGAGCAAAGUAGUGAUAAGGAGUUUCAUUUUCUAGAUGUGCAGAUGAACAUAGAACAAGGAGAAUACAUUAUUUAUAUAUAUAAGAAACCUACUUAUAAGCUAGUAUUAAUCCCGGCUUGGUCGCAAGACCCUAAGGGGUAUAAAGUUGCCGCCUUUAAAGCAUUAUUCAACCGAAUCUUUACGCAUAUUACAAGAUGGAAAAAUAAAAUUA